GUAGUCGCGCAUCUUCCGAUCACACUCCAGUGAGGGAAUUAAGGAUGACACGUUGUCCUUGUAACGGGUAUCCAGCAGGGUGGCCACCCAGUAAUCAGCACAAGUUAGAAUGUGGGCAACUCGGCAGUUGUUGCGCAGGCACUUUGGUGACUCUAGAUAACCUCGGGCUGAUCGCCCGUCCCCAUGACGGCGGCGACACAUUCAGAUGUCUGCCCUAUCAACUUUCGAUGGUACUUUCUUCACCUACCAUGGUGUCCACGGGUAACGGGGAAUCAGGGUUUGAUUCCA
rnacentral:rRNA from 1 species